UCAGCCUCUGGCUCUGGGUCCACAGUGAGCCAAAUACUAUGCUGGACAAAUGAGCUAUCUGCUCCCCGUAGUGGAGGAGAUGGGGCGGAGAGGAAGAACCAGAAGUUCUUAACUAACUGUGUCUGUACUUGGAGCAGACUGUGUUCUGUGAAGACGUCAAUGCAAGCCAUGAAGACAACAGGAAACACAGGGGCCAUAAACGGCUAUUCUCCAACAGAUUAAGAUGGGAUCCAUCUCAGAAAGAGGAAGAAAGAAGAGCCAGAGAGCCAAACAGCACACCGGAGACUAAUUUUAGGAGAUUAAAGCAGUUGAUUCAUCACAGAGUAUACCAGCUGGAAAAGUUGCACGGUUUAUUUGAGGAGGUAUUCAUAAAUCCAAAGAUUUAUGUUGUCCGUGAUGAAAACGAGACUUUGGAGUUUGGGACCAGCUUCGUUUUUUCUCACUGUGCUCUGACAGAGUCACCCUCAAAGAUCAUUUUCAUUCAUUCUAUUGAAUUGGCUUUUCUUUCAAUAAAUUCUACCAUUAUUAAUCUC